UACGGGGGGGGCAAGCGUUGUUCGGAAUUACUGGGCGUAAAGGGCCAGUAGGCGGCCAACUCAGUCGGAUGUGAAAUCCCCAGGCUCAACUUGGGAACUGCAUCCGAUACUGGCUGGCUUGAAUUCGGGAGAGGGAUGCAGAAUUCCAGGUGUAGCGGUGAAAUGCGUAGAUAUCUGGAGGAAUACCGGUGGCGAAGGCGGCAUCCUGGACCGACAUUGACGCUGAACGGCGAAAGCUAGGGGAGCAAACGGG
rnacentral:rRNA from 1 species